rnacentral:tRNA from 1 species
AGGGUUGUAGCUCAGUGGUAGAGCACUUGUCUAGCACAUGUGAGGCACUGGGUUCAAUCCUCAGCACCACAU